CUGGAAGGGCAAGGGGUGGUGGGUGUCACUAAAAGGAACCAGCCCCAGCUACUUCACUGCAGGCUGGUGCCCUGGUGAAGGUGAAUCAGUCAGAGGAGUGCUGACUGCCCAUGGGGCUGCACCAUAUCAUGGUUCCCACUAGCAAUAUAUGAGAGUUCCAGUUGCUCCACAACCUCGCCAACAUAUGACAGGUGCUGCAAGAGGAUGGUUAUUUAACGCUGGCCCCCAAGGAGGAAGGCACAGACCUUCCUCCUCCUGGAACAUCCAAGGGCACUGGAUCCUCUGUGUCCCUCUGAGAUGGGGUGCCACUCCAGCAAGAGCACCACGGUGGCAGCUGAGUCCCAGAAGCUUGAAGAAGAGCGCGAGGGAAGAGAGCCAGGUCUGGAGACCGGCACCCAGGCAGCAGACUGCAAGGAUGCCCCGCUGAAGGAUGGAACCCCUGAGCCAAAGAGCUGAAAUGCCUCUCUCCAGAGUCGGACCCUCACCUCCUUCCUGGAACUGCCUUUGGCCCCAGAACCAUGAGACAAUCCCCACCCUGAGAAGCUCCGAUCACUGGGAGGAGAGAGAAAGCCUCCAGCUUUGGGAUUCAGGCUUCAGAAGUUUUUAGCAGCCUUUGCUCAUUGGAGAGGUGGGGAGGAUAAGUCUAUAAGGAAUCCUAUUUCCCCAGCUCUCCCACAGAGAGGACAAAAGAAGUCUUCACACGUUGUGGAACUUUCCUGCAACUUCUGGAUGCAGACAAGCCUCAGAGCAGACUGUUCUGGCUCCAGUGAAUAUCGGCUGCCAAGCUGUGAGCAUCCAGGGAUCCCCGUCUGCCUGGCUUUCCUGAAGUCAGAAGGCGCCUUGGUCAUACUGUGUGGGGUGUGUGGAUCUCAGUUUGCUCUCUUUCUUUCUCCUUUUUUCAACAGCUGGCGGAGUAGCCAACACCCCUGACAGCAAUGUGUUGCACUUGGCUCACUCCACACCCUAUGAAUAAUUUUAAUAUUUAACUUGAAAUGUUGUUAAGAAACUAUGGAAAAUAUCAGGAUCCCACUGGGAUCCCGUAAAUUGAAGGCAACAAGGUCUUGGUCCUCCAGUAAGGGGGGCAUGGAGCCCUGGUGGGAAGGAAAGAAGAGAAAUUUGUGUUCCUGAUUCCUUAAUCCCCAAGAAAGGUCCCUCUGCUAACAUUCACAUAUCUCUUCCUAGCCAAAGUCUGUCCAUUUCAACCCUCUAGCAUCUGAGCUAUCUGCAUCCAGCUUUCAAAAAUAUUUCGCUGUUUACUAACAUGUCUGUCAGCCUCUCUUUUCUCCCCCGCAUGUGUUUUGUUUUUAAAUCCACUCAAAAGCGUUUUCAUUUGAAAUCAAAUAGACAUGUUUGCAAAUAAAUGUUGACACAACACAUUUGAAAGACAGAAUUGGGGAUCUGAGAUUAAGAGUAUCAGCAGAGAAGAGUGGGUGUAAUUCUGUGGAACAGGAGUGAGAACAGAGGCGAGGGAGCCGUUGCUUUGUGCCAGGCGCCAUGCUGAGGACUUUCCAUAGACGGUUUAAUGCCACCCAACUACUCCCAUUUUAUAGAUGAGGAAAUGGAGGAAAUAAAGUCACUUGCCUGAGUUUGGGCAGCCAGGAAGGAGCAGAACCCACAGUUGAGCCCCAGCAGUUUGGCUUGGGAAACGCAUGUAGAGUGCUUCUUAAAGCAGAGAGCCUUUCUCAUGAUUAAACUGAAAUACUAGUCCCUUUAUAGCCUGUGCAUAGUGAGGACCAUUUUUCUUUAUUCACUGAGACCUACCUGCCUAUUGAGAAGUAUGUAACCGGUCAGCUUGGAGUUGCCCCACUGCAGGUUGGGUGAUGCAUUGAGGGACUUUUUAUUUUUACUCUGGUGGUGGGGGACGGGGAGGGAGGAAGAGACGGAGAGGGAAGUGGGAGAAGGGAGGGAGGGAAGGGAGGAAAGAUGAAGAAAGGGAGGAGGGAGAGGAGGGGGGAAGGGAGAGAAAGAGGAAAGAGGUAGGGAGAGGGAGAAGAGGAGGGAGGAGAGAGGGCAAGAAGAAAAAGGAGGAGGGGAAACAGAGGAAGAGAGGGAGGAGGGAAAGAAGGAGAGGGAGAGAAAGGGAAGAGGUAGGGAGAUGAAAGAGCGGGGAGAGGCAGAAUGGGAGAGGGAGAGAAGGAGAGGGGAGACGGAGGGAGGAAGGGAGAGAAAGGAGAGGGGUGAGGGAAAAGGGGUAGGGAGGAGGGAGGAAGAGAAAAAUGGGGAGAGGGUGGGCGAGAAGGAAAGGAAGAAAUCGAGGAAGUUGGAGGAAUGAGGGAUGAGGCAGGGAGGGAGAAAGGGAGGGCGAAGCAGUAAGGUGCUGCAAAGGACCCUUCUUUUUGGCCAUAAAAACCUGAGAAACUGAUUGAGAUUCUUUUGAGCAAUAAGGCAACUGCGGUGAGGAAAAAAUAAGGAAGGAGGCACAAAAAGCAAAGCAGUUCAGCCUGAAAUUGACUACAGAGCUUCCCUUUGCUUCAGCAGAGCCUGGAGGAGCAGGAGGGAUGGGGGCCCUGUCAGCUGGCCCAAAGCCCUGCCCUGUCCCAGGGGUGCUAAGCUUGCUGCAGGCCAGGAAACAGGCCUGGGCUUGCAGCUGGGGAUCAGGAAGUUUGGGGCCUCUUUGCACAGCUUACUGGGGAUAGGCCAAGCUCUGGGAACUCCUUUCAAUUUUUUUUUUUUUUAAGACAACUCUGUUUUUCUCCCUCCUCCCUACUAGUGGAAAUUUACCUUGCAAAACAGGACUGUGCAUGGUGAGAGCUGCUUGCAAUGUCCACACUCAGGACUCUAUGGAAAGAGUUCGCAGCUGGUGGUGAGGCUUUGAGGUGGGGCUGCCCUUAUUUCACUAGCUCCUGAGGGGCAGAGCUCACUCAGCUUUUUACCAAAUCAAAGGAAGGAAGCUUUAGGUCCUUCGAAGUUCAGAACCAGGGUGGUUUGUUUUGCUUCCUUUUGGAAUGGAAUAAAAUGCUCAUUUAAUUAAAAAAAAAAAAAAAAAA
rnacentral:lncRNA from 1 species